rnacentral:rRNA from 1 species
UAGGGAAUCUUCGGCAAUGGGGGGAACCCUGACCGAGCAACGCCGCGUGAGUGAAGAAGGCUUUCGGAUCGUAAAGCUCUGUUGUUAAGGAAGAACGAGUGUGAGAAUGGAAAGUUCAUGCUGUGACGGUACUUAACCAGAAAGGGACGGCUAACUACGUGCCAGCAGCCGCGGUAAUACGUAGGUCCCGAGCGUUGUCCGGAUUUAUUGGGCGUAAAGGGUACGUAGGUGGUUUUUUAAGUCAGGUGUCAAAGCGUGGAGCUUAACUCCAUUAAGCACUUGAAACUGAAAGACUUGAGUGAAGGAGAGGAAAGUGGAAUUCCUAGUGUGGCGGUGAAAUGCGUAGAUAUUAGGAGGAAUACCGGUGGCGAAGGCGACUUUCUGGACUUUUACUGACGCUGAGGCCCGAAAGCGUGGGUAGCAAACAGG